UACGAAGGGGGCUAGCGUUGCUCGGAAUCACUGGGCGUAAAGGGUGCGUAGGCGGGUCUUUAAGUCAGGGGUGAAAUCCUGGAGCUCAACUCCAGAACUGCCUUUGAUACUGAGGAUCUUGAGUUCGGGAGAGGUGAGUGGAACUGCGAGUGUAGAGGUGAAAUUCGUAGAUAUUCGCAAGAACACCAGUGGCGAAGGCGGCUCACUGGCCCGAUACUGACGCUGAGGCACGAAAGCGUGGGUAGCAAACAGG
rnacentral:rRNA from 1 species